ACAACAUUCCAACCAUUUUUAGCUGGAGCUUCGGCUCUCAGACUGGCCACAAAUGGUGCCAUGAAAUUCUGAGGGGAUGGUGCAGAACUCGAAGAACUUGAAGGUUGUUGAGAGGGCAAAAGAAUCGGUCGUUGAUCGUUUUUAUUCAUUUUUGAGCCAUCAUCUUUAACGUCGACGUCCAAAUGAUGAGAUGCUUCAGCCGUAGGCGUGUAGACAUAAGCUAUUGGCGUAGACGAGGGAUGAUUGUUGUUUGGCAUACGAUGAAGAGUUGCUGAAAUAACGCCAUCGUUUUUUCUUUUCGAAAAAGAAAAAUACUGUAACCAGAGAGGAAGAGCUGAAAGAGCCAAGUUGGACCAAACUAAUGGACGUGGUAUGGACUCGGCGGAACGGUACGCGGAACAGUUAGACGACGACCUACAUUACAGAAACAACUCAGGGGCGAACAACGUGCUAGUUUCUUCAACAUUAAAUGUGAAAAAUACAUCGAUAUUGCACCAUGACUCAAUAAAAGUUUUAUAAGAUCGAUAAAAUUGUUCUCUGCAGCCAUAUGGAGAGCAGUCAUGCCAUUUGUUGUUUUUAAAUUAAUGAACUCAUUUAGAAUUCUAGUUUUCUCCGCAUUUGUAAGCAAAAUUGCAAUUAUAUCUUUCAUACCCUUGAAAGUAGCAAAAUGUAACGUUGUGUUUUUUGUAUUAUUAAUUUGAGUAAAAUCAGCUUUAUGAUUUAAUAGCAACAUUGUAAUAUCUGUAUGAUCAUGACAAAUGGCAACAUGUAAAAGACUAUUACCAUUAUUCUCUUUAGCAUUAAUAAGUUCUUUUUGUAUUUGAAUACAUUUAGCAACCUCUGUUUCAUCUCCUACUUUUACAUACUCAAAUAUUUUUUCUGAUAAUUGAAGUAUACUUUUAAUUUUAUCAUUAGUAGUAAGUUUUAUUGGUGUUUCAAAUUGUAAAGUUUCGGAAUUAUAUAUUGCACCAUUAUCCAAUAAAUAUUUAACUAUGCUCUCAUUUCCUCUUAAUGCAGCAUAAUGUAAAGGCAUCCAAUUAUUUAUAUUUUGAGCAUUUACGAAUUUAUGUUUA